UACGUAGGGUGCGAGCGUUAAUCGGAAUUACUGGGCGUAAAGCGUGCGCAGGCGGCGCGUUAAGACGGGUGUGAAAGCCCCGAGCUUAACUUGGGAAUUGCGCUUGUGACUGGCGUGCUGGAGUGUGGCAGAGGGAGGUGGAAUUCCACGUGUAGCAGUGAAAUGCGUAGAGAUGUGGAGGAACACCGAUGGCGAAGGCAGCCUCCUGGGCCAGCACUGACGCUCAUGCACGAAAGCGUGGGGAGCAAACAGG
rnacentral:rRNA from 1 species